rnacentral:rRNA from 1 species
UACAGAGGGUGCGAGCGUUAAUCGGAAUUACUGGGCGUAAAGCGUGCGUAGGCGGUUGCUUAAGUCAGAUGUGAAAGCCCUGGGCUCAACCUGGGAAUGGCAUUUGAAACUGGGCAGCUAGAGUGUGAUAGAGGAUGGCGGAAUUCCCGGUGUAGCGGUGAAAUGCGUAGAGAUCGGGAGGAACAUCCGUGGCGAAGGCGGCCAUCUGGAUCAACACUGACGCUGAGGCACGAAAGCGUGGGGAGCAAACAGG